CCUACGGGAGGCUGCAGUGAGGAAUAUUGGUCAAUGGCCGGAAGGCUGAACCAGCCAAGCCGCGUGAAGGACGAAGGUGCCAAGCAUUGUAAACUUCUUUUGUCAAGGGACAAAAUCAGGCUCGAGAGCCUGACCGAGGGUACUUGAAGAAAAAGCAUCGGCUAACUCCGUGCCAGCAGCCGCGGUAAUACGGAGGAUGCGAGCGUUAUCCGGAUUUAUUGGGUUUAAAGGGUGCGUAGGCGGGCUGUUAAGUCAGCGGUAAAAGCCCGGGGCUCAACCCCGGCGAGCCGUUGAAACUGGGUGUCUUGAGAUGUCGAGAGGUAGGCGGAAUGCGCAGUGUAGCGGUGAAAUGCUUAGAUAUUGCGCAGAACACCGAUUGCGAAGGCAGCAUACCGGCGGCGAUCUGACGCUGAGGCACGAAAGCGUGGGUAGCGAACAGGAUUAGAUACCCUGGUAGUC
rnacentral:rRNA from 1 species